rnacentral:rRNA from 1 species
CUCAGACAGCCAGGAUGUUGGCUUAGAAGCAGCCAUCAUUUAAAGAAAGCGUAAUAGCUCACUGGUCGAGUCGGCCUGCGCGGAAGAUUUAACGGGGCUAAGCUAUACACCGAAGCUGCGGCAAUGCAUUUUAUGUAUUGGGUAGGGGAGCGUUCUGUAAGCGGUUGAAGGUGGUCUGUAAGGGCUGCUGGACGUAUCAGAAGUGCGAAUGCUGACAUGAGUAACGAUAAAGGGAGUGAAAAACUCCCUCGCCGGAAGACCAAGGGUUCCUGUCCAACGUUAAUCGGGGCAGGGUGAGUCGACCCCUAAGGCGAGGCCGAAAGGCGUAGUCGAUGGGAAACGGGUUAAUAUUCCCGUACUUCUUACUAUUGCGAUGGGGGGACGGAGAAGGCUAGGUGGGCCUGGCGACGGUUGUCCAGGUUCAAGGGUGUAGGCUGUAAUCUUAGGCAAAUCCGGGAUUACACUAGGCUGAGACCCGAUGUCGAGGUGCUACGGCACUGAAGUCAUUGAUGCCAUGCUUCCGGGAAAAGCCUCUAAGCUUCAGGUAGUAAGGAAUCGUACCCCAAACCGACACAGGUGGUCGGGUAGAGAAUACCAAGGCGCUUGAGAGAACUCGGGUGAAGGA